rnacentral:snRNA from 1 species
GUACUUAUUUCGGCCUUUUGGCUGAGAUCAAGUGUAGUAUCUGUUCUUACCAGUUUAUCUGUGAAGGAUCGUUAUGUGCUGAGACGUCACAAUCUUCGUGAACAGUAGUUUCUAUACUCAGUAUCUACGCAUUAAACUCAUCAGAAAGCUUUCUCUACAUGUCGACAUUCUCGUGUUUAUGACACCACGAUGCACGUAAAGAAGAAUUGAU